UCCACGAUGAUUCACAUUCAGCUUUCACUUAAGGCAAGAUGGAAGAAAGGAGGAUACCAAGAUAAGAAGAUCAAGAAGAUAAAGAAAGCUAAAUUUGACAAGGAUCAACAGACCAGACAGCUCUCCCACAGCCAGCCUGAGAACCUGCUUUACGGUCUGUAUAGCCUGGGUGAAGUUGAAGACUCGUGCAUCAGAUGGCUGAGAAAAGGAUAGCCCAGAGCAAGAGGGAGCCCAGCAGAGGCUAAGAAGGAGGCAGCAAAGGAGUUCACAAACACACGUACAGCUAAUGGAGGUACCGAAUGACAGGUCCGUUUCAGAAAGCAGGUUUAGUGAAAACUCUGAGUUUGUUAACCCUGAAAUGAGGGUAAUUCUGGGUUUUCCGUUUCAG